UGUACGAAAACAAUACCGUUUCUGAUCCGGGCAAGCGCAAAGCGCCCAAGGCAGAAUAGCAGACAUAGCAAGUCUUUACUCUUUACGACUCGAUGCUGACACUGCUUUUAUUCACGAGUCAGAGGCUAUCAGUUCUCCUCAUUAACAAUGUUUCAAAGUUCAGAAAUUCUUUAAAACUCGGUUAAACUCAUCUAUCAUCCAGCGUUUUUUUUAUAUCAAACAAGAAAAACUAUUACAUCUUGCUUUUGAUCUGGGGUUUCUUUUUUGGUGAAAAAUGGUGGUUGGGCUUGUUGCAUGGCUGAGAGCCACUUGGGUUGCAGUGGUUCUGCCUAUUAUCUCAGCUUCAAUACCCAGUUCCAAGCUGAGUUCAUUUCAUGAACUUAUUUUGGGGUUUGCACAAAGAGGGAAGAUCAGGCAACCAUCUUCUUUUGCUCCGAUCCGGAGAGACGGGAAGCUGAAAUUUAAGCCAGUUUGCCAAAUUUGGAAACUGAGUACCAUUGUCUCUAAUUCUUUUAAAUUAGUACCAUUAUUUCAGUAUGUUUGGCAAUGAAUUGUUGCAGCCUUGUACGAUUUGCGUUUUGGUAUUUCUGUUUAAUUAGACCAUUGUUUCCGCCAUAGUUUUGUCAAGACUCAAGCUUACUCUGAGCUUGAGCUAUCUGUAGCUUGCAGUGAAAUUAAUGAAUCAGAAUAGAUUCGGGUUUUCGAAUCUGCUUUGACACAAUACUGAACUUUCCUUCACUGCAAAUCCAAAAUUGUUCCUCGGAGAUUCUUCUCCCAUUUCUACGUGAUGGCUUCCAUCUGGACGCUGCUCCUCACAGCAUGGCUAUAUGCAUACGCAAUGGCUCCAAUGAAUUCUAACCCAUCUCAUUUUUCACAUCUUGCUAGCCAUAGCCACUUGACAGGGGGUUCACAUAUCUUUUCUUUGCAUGAAUCUCAUUCGACACUAGUUGAGCAAUACAGGGUCUGGCGAAUCGUUUUCCUACUUAUGUUAAUGGAAGCUCAAAUCUCAAACCAUUCUUCCAUGUUUAGUUACUGCAUAGCAGCACCACUGUCACUCUGCUGCAAUUGUGCGCCGGUGGUGUUUAAAUUUACUCUGGACCCUGGUGUCCAAAUUCAUCAUUAAAGGAAAGAAUAAGAUUACAGCCAUUGAAAUUGAUUGGUGGGAAUCUGUAAAUCAUCUUUAUGAAGCUUGGAUGGCGACAGUAGAUUGGUAGUGCUAUAUUUCAAUGCCUUUGUCAUGCAAUCCUAGUAAGUCACCAAACUUGAUGUGUUGUUAUCGCAAAGGCGUUGCGGAAGCCCAUGUUUAUGUAUCUAUUAUAGUUCCAUGUAUUCGGAUAGGGGAUGGAAUUAGAACUUUGCUGGUUGACCAGGUUUAGGCAGAUGGCAACUGAAUUAUGAUUGUUUGCGCAAAGGGUCAUUUUGAUGCUCCUCUGCUUCUCUCACCUUCCCGUUAGCUGACAUGUUCAAAUCUUCAAUAGGACUCACCGUGGGGCGUGGGCACAUGCUGAACAAAAUUGAUGACUGUAAUUCCUACCGCAGAUUGGUGGCCCUUCGUGGUGUUUCUGGAAGAUAUGCUAGUUUUUGUUCAAGGGCAUACCAUCCUUUUUCAGCCUUCUGGACGUUGCUUUUGUUCUUAUUUGGGGAACCUUUUAAUUCCUCAUUGAUUAAUGGAAGUUAUCUCUUGAUUUUCAAAAAAAAAAAAACUUACUGCAGGUGGCAUAUCUGGGGUUUGCAGCAGCUGAAACGCAUAAGUGAUAUCUUCACAACUUUGAAAAUUGGUUAAAUUACCCAAGAACUCAAUUUGCUAUCAUCCCAUUCAUCUUUUAAGGUUUAGGAGCACUAAUUAUAUAAUGCAUUGUACGCUUGACUGUAAUUUCCUUAAGGGGUUUUAGUACCUAAAGUAAUUGUUUAAGUAUCAGCAUGUUAGGAGGACUACAUGAAAUGUGGGGUUUUAUUUAAAAACUGAUGAACUUUGGCAUCAUUGAACUAAUUUAUGACAGUAGGAUGUCCCAUGAAAUGAAUGAUAUGCACAGAUACUAUUUUCUAGAGAGAAAAAGAUGAAAACAAAAAAAGAAAAGAAGGAAUGAAAUACUAGAGGAAAAGAUGAUUCUUGUUCUAUCUGUCACACCCCACACCCACAACUUAAUCUGUAGUUUAAGAAACGAACAUCUUAACAUAUACCCAAGAAACAAUUUAUUCCAAGUUAAAUUUCUUAAUGUAUCCACUUAUUCAAAGUAAAAACAUUUUGCUAAAAGUAUAUGUUCACACAUUCAUAAGGAUUUAUACAUCCUUCUCACAUACUAACAAAAGUUUAAAACUUCAAAAUCAUGAGAGC